rnacentral:rRNA from 1 species
AUUGAACGCUGGCGGCAGGCCUAACACAUGCAAGUCGAGCGAGUGGCGGACGGGUGAGUAAUGUAUGGGGAACUGCCCGAUAGAGGGGGAUAACUACUGGAAACGGUGGCUAAUACCGCCUACCAUCGGAUGUUCCCAUAUGGGAUUAGCUAGUAGGUGGGGUAAAGGCUCACCUAGGCGACGAUCACUAGCUGGUCUGAGAGGAUGAUCAGCCACACUGGGACUGAGACACGGCCCAGACUCCUACGGGAGGCAGCAGUGGGGAAUAUUGCACAAUGGGCGCAAGCCUGAUGCAGCCAUGCCGCGUGUAUGAAGAAGGCCUUAGGGUUGUAAAGUACUUUCAGCGGGGAGGCGUUACCCGCAGAAGAAGCACCGGCUAACUCCGUGCCAGCAGCCGCGGUAAUAC